GUCUGCCCGCCCGCUCGCCGCUCUGGGCGUCCUCUGCGGGCUGCGGGCUGCGAGCUGCGAGCUGCGAGCUGCGGCUGCUCCGGUUUUCUCUUUGCAGCGAGGCUGGAGGGUGGGCUUUUUUUUUUUUUCCUUUUUGCGCGCGUAUGUAUGUGUGUGCGCGCAAAGUAUCUCUAUCUAGGGAAUGAAAAAUGGGCGCUGGCGGCCGGAGGGGAGCCCUAUGGAGGCAGCGGGGGAGGCUGCGGGUGCGCAAGGAGGCAAGCGGGCCGCUCCCGGCUGCAGGAGGAGAAGUUGCCACCCUUUCAGCUGUUCCGGCCUUUAUAAAGGAGAAGGGACAGUGCGAGAGAUGGGGAAAUGGAAGCACAGAGAGGCCAAGACACUUGUUCAAGGUCACACAGCCCGUAAGUGGUAAGGCCAGGACUUGAAUCUGAGCAGUCCAGCUACAGAGCCCACAUGCUGAGACCACCGUGCUGUGCAAUUUUCUGGCAGGUGAUGCUGAUGACAAUGAUGACACUUUUGACACAGCGCUUUGGUGAGCGCCACAUACAUUAAUAUGUGGGAACCUGCUCUGCCAGCUAAAAGUGAUGGACCCAUAUGAACUCUGACUUAGGUACAAGUUGGGGGAGAGGGAAGGCUACUCAGAGCAGCAUCGUAGAACGCCUACUGUUUGCAGACCCUGUGUGAAGCGCUGAGAAAUGGAAUGAGGAAGGAGUCCCAGCCUCGGCACUCAGGGACUUCCCAUGCUCUCAGUGAGAUAGACACAAAUCAUUGCAGUGCAGGUGCCAGUACAUGGGUUAGAAGUGGCAGAAGAGGGCCCAGCAGACACCUGGGCCUGAAUGCUACGUGACACCUGCGUGACACCUGGGCCUGAAUGUUGUGCUAAGGGCUCCUUUCUUGUACCUUCUCCGUGCAGAGGAACAGUCUGUAAAGAACACCUCCCCAGGCGCGGUGGCUCACCCCUGUAUUCCCAGCAAUUUGGGAGGCUGAGGCCAGAGGAUCACGUGCAGCCAGGAGUUCGAGACCAGCCUCAGCAACAUAGCGAGAUCCCAUCUCUUAAAAAAAAUUACCAAAAAAAAAAAAAAAUCUAUCUAUCUAUCUGUCUAUCUAUCUAUAUCUGAGUGUGGCCCCAGCUACUCAGGAGGCUGAGUCAGGAGGGAGAAUCCCCUGAGCCCAGGAGUUCAAGACUGCAGUGAGCCAUCUCAGAGACGGGGUCUCGGUCUGUCGCCGAGGCUGGAGUGCCGUGGUGCGAUCUCUUCUCACUGCAACCUCUGCCUCCCAGGUUCAAGCGAUUCUCCUGCCUCAGCCUCCCGAGUAGCUGAGACCACAGGCCCCUGCCACCAUGCCCAGCUAAUUUUUGUAUUUUUAGUAGAGACGGUUUCACCAUGUUGGCCAGGGUGCUUUCGAUCUCCUGACCUCAAGUGAUCUGCCCCACUCAGCCUCCCAAAGUGCUGGGAUUACAAGCAUGAACCACCACACCCAGCCUAAAAAUUUUUUUUUAAUAACACCUGCUCGUCUGCCUCCUGCCAGGCUGGGUGUAGCAGGCACCUCCUCCAGAAGGCCUACCAGGCUUGGCACUUGUUCCAGGCUCCACAGCAUGCACACCUGGCAUCGUCAUGGCCCGAUCAUCAAUCUAGCACUAGACUGAGUCCAGAGUGUUCAAGGGCCUCCUGCCAGCUCCUAGCAUACAGUGGCUGCUCAGGAAGUGCCGCUCGCUGAAGGAAUGAAUAAAUGAUUAAAAUCCUGCCCAU
rnacentral:lncRNA from 1 species